rnacentral:lncRNA from 1 species
AAUGCCUUAGCUGAAGAUUUGUACUAUGCCAGGAGUGGGCAACUCACAGUAAUGUUGCUGGCGGUUUAGCCCAGGCACAGCCCACACCCAAGGAUAGCAUAACAGAAGCAGAUACUAGUGAUACAACCUAAGGUCAAGAAUCAGAUAAUGGCACACAAGAUAUAAAUUAGGAGGCUAAGAAGAUAGCUGACUAGAAAUGAGAUGAAGACCAAGUGGAUGAGAGUAUCUGCUCCCUAAUUUUAAACACCUUUGUCAGGUAAGCUGGGGAGUAGGGGUGAGAGGAUUUCAAGAACAGAAAAC